UACGUAGGGGGCAAGCGUUGUCCGGAAUCAUUGGGCGUAAAGCGCGUGUAGGCGGCCUUGUAAGUCCGUUCUGAAAGCCCGGGGCUCAACCCCGGGAGGCGGAUGGAUACUGCAAGGCUCGAGUACGGAAGAGGCGAGUGGAAUUCCCGGUGUAGCGGUGAAAUGCGCAGAUAUCGGGAGGAACACCAAUGGCGAAGGCAGCUCGCUGGGACGUUACUGACGCUGAGACGCGAAAGCGUGGGAGCGAACAGG
rnacentral:rRNA from 1 species